CACGUAGGGCGCAAGCGUUGUCCGGAAUUAUUGGGCGUAAAGAGCUCGUAGGCGGUCUGCUGCGUCCGCUGUGAAAACUCGGGGCUUAACCCCGAGCCUGCAGUGGAUACGGGCAGACUAGAGGUAGGUAGGGGAGAAUGGAAUUCCCGGUGUAGCGGUGAAAUGCGCAGAUAUCAGGAGGAACACCAAUGGCGAAGGCAGAUCUCUGGGCCGUAACUGACGCUGAGGAGCGAAAGCAUGGGGAGCGAACAGG
rnacentral:rRNA from 1 species